ACUCAAAUGAAUUGACGGGGGCCCGCACAAGUGGUGGAGCAUGUGGUUUAAUUCGACGCUACGCGAAGAACCUUACCUGGGUUUGACAUGCACGGGAAUCUACCAGAGAUGGUAGCGUCCUUCGGGACUCGUGCACAGGUGCUGCAUGGCUGUCGUCAGCUCGUGCCGUGAGGUGUUGGGUUAAGUCCCGCAACGAGCGCAACCCUUAUUUUUAGUUGCCAUCGGGUAAAGCCGGGCACUCUAGAGAGACUGCCGACAUAAGUCGGAGGAAGGUGGGGAUGACGUCAAGUCAGCAUGGCCCUUACGUCCAGGGCUACACACGUGCUACAAUGGCCGGUACAAAGGGCAGCCAACCCGCGAGGGGGAGCGAAUCUCAAAAAACCGGUCUCAGUUCGGAUUGUAGGCUGCAACUCGCCUACAUGAAGUCGGAAUCACUAGUAACCGCAGAUCAGCUACGCUGUGGUGAAUACGUUCCCGGGCCUUGUACACACCGCCCGU
rnacentral:rRNA from 1 species